UCAGUUUGUUGUAUGUUCCAAAUUGCUGUUUUAUUUGCUGAAAAGUUUUUAUAAAGCUUUGAUUUUACUGUUUGUAAAGGAGAGUAAGUUAGCUGCAACUAAUGUAGUCUAAAUUCAGUCUCAAUCAUUCUAAUUCUUUUAUUAUCAAUUUAUUCAAGAAUUCUUACAAAAGAUACCCAAGAUCCCAUGUCCUUCUUUAUCAAAAGCGUUACUCCAGGAAGGCUACAGCAAAGAAGCAUCUGGAAGUAUUAGGAGCAAGUUCCAGUGACUGAGAUUCAUUAAAAUUUCUGAGGACACAAAACACCUUGGUUUUUAACUUGAAGGUCUGGAGUAUUCCAAACUUAGAAACAUGCUACUGCUGCAUUUGAGGAAGGAUUAGAACAUAUCACCCAAUGUAUGCAAGUCUGAAAUGAGAGAAGAUUGUAUCAGGAUAUUGUUGGCAAGGUUGCCAUCUAAAUCAGCUGAUGGUCUCCUUUGUCUGCAAAAAUGGAAAACAGAAAAAAUCAUGAAACGAAGAGUGACCUUUGAGACUAAGGAGGAGAAUAUCCGCUGAUCUGCCUCUUGAAGGAGGGAGCUGUUGGCAUAAAAGGAAAUAAAGACAGCUUUGAAAGCAUUUAUCCGUCGCAGAUGAAGAGCGGGAUGCACUGUAAUGCUCACAUUGACUUUUUAAAAAAAAGUAUUUCAGAAAAUGAGCCAUGGUGAAUGCAUUAUGUAUCUGUUGGGCUUUGAACUUGAAGUUCCCAUUUUAUAAAACAAAGCUUUGUGCCCUGAUUCAUAUGUAUUAGGGUGUGAUGGAAGUCUUACUGACAGGGAUAUUUACUACUAGGAAAGAAAAUGAAUUAGUAAUUUACGAUCAGAUCAAGUUUACUAUGAAUGUACUGUUAGAAAAAAAAAAAAAGGAAUAAACUUCUUUCCCAUCCACACUCCUCUUCAUCUCCACAGUGCAAAAGACACAAGUUCAAGGCUUCUACGGACUGUUACUAGUGGGUAGUUCUGGAAAUCCCAUCUGUCUAAAAAUACUGUCUAAGAGAAAAUUGUAGAACAGAUAUGAAAACAGAGAAACUAAGAGCAGAAAAUCAAGAAAAUCUGAAGAGAAACAGCUUAAAAAUGUAACAGCUAAGAAAUAAAAUUGAGAAAUAGAUUUGAUAAAAAAUUGUAAUUCAGGCUGCUCUUCUGCUUCUUCAUUCCUAGGAAGUAAUUAUUUUAAAGCUGAGAUGCUCUUGGAAGCCUUCCUAAUUUUGGCAAAUCUAAAUACAAAGGAGAACUUCAACUUGUUUAUCUUUGCCAAGCCUAUACUAAAUAAUGUAUGCUUUGCGUAACAAUUGAACAUAUCUGGAUUUCUGCUUUCCUGGCUGUAAUUGUACAGUCAUGCAAGACAUUUCUUAUAUUAAAAGGAAUCUGUAAAAAGAACCAGUAGCAACAACUCUUUGAAGCUUUCUUAUGGACUACACAAUUUCAUGUUGUACUUAGUUGUGAAUGUAACACUGAAACUGGAAAGGUUUUCUCCUCAUAUUUAACUAGCUUUAUGGAGAGGAAAGCUGAUACUUGCUUUGUUAGUCAUAACUACAGUCUAUUAAACACUGUGCAGUAGUGACAGAUGCCCACCCAUCCCAGAUUAAUGGACCCAACCUGAUCAAUCUUUGUCACUGAGAAGAAAGCAGCAGAGUCUAAUGUUGUUCCAGUGAGUGUACCCAGACUGCACACUGGGUUACAGAAAUGAAUGCACUGAAGUUUUGAUAUUGAGGAGGAUGGUAAUGAUCUUCAUGCCCAACUUUCUGAGGCUUAUCAGCAUCCUUACUCCAUAUCAUGUGGGAUGUCUCCAAAUAUGUGGCUUUCUCACUCAACAGCAAACUAGUUGACUGUAGGGAUAAAUUCAGGGCUCUACUCUCUAGAGCUGCUGAUCUAAGCACUUCUACUGAGCUAUAAUAGAUUAAACAAAGAAAAAAUCAUGAAAUCAAUAAAUCCAAACAGUGAAUUUUAGCAUUAAUUUACUACCUAAUCAGUGGAGUAACCAUGGGAUUGCUACCCUCCAAAAUCUAGAUAUCAGCCUGCAUCACAGAUGUGAUGUGAACUGUUGUCAGCGACUGCUGAAGAUUAGUGUAUUAACGUGUCCUUAAAUUCCUUGAUAAAAUUGGGCAGAGUUAUACUUGGAGAAGCCUGGCCCAACGACAUGGUCAAAGGGGCAUGCUCAACAAAUCAGUUUCCUGUGAAAGGUCAGGAGUUCCUCAGAAUCUGUUGGAUUCACAGGGAAAACAAAUCUUUAGAAGGAGAAAGAUGGGGGACAAGAGACAAAGAUGAAAGCUUGAUAUAACAUUAUGCACUGUUAACUUGUAAAUUUGCCAGUCCCUCUUGUACCUGCCCAUUAACGGUACCCAUAGCUGUGUGCUAUAGAAACAAUCAAAUUGUAAUAUAUAAAUGUCAAAGAACAGUAUUAAUAACUAGUUCAUUAAGGCUAGAAGUUCUGGCAACUGUUAAGACGUUUCAACUUUUAUGGAACACAGUUUAUUUUUGCUCUUACACCUAUAUGUAAAAACGGGCAUUUUCUAACAAACACCAUCCUUCAGGAAGGCCUGCUGAAUCAGAAGUAAAUUUGUUUUUCAUUCAUCUCGACAUAAAGGUCAGGAUACUAACGCUUCAGCAUUUCAGGGUUUUACGGUUUUCCCUGGAGGUGUUCACCCUGGAGGCGCGUAGAUGUGGCACUUCAGGACAUGGUUUAGGAGACACGGUACUGUUGGGCUGACGGUUGGACUUGAUGAUCCUAGAGGUCUUUUCCAACCUUAAUGAUUACAUGAUUCUAAGGCUGAUAGUAACUUAACUGAGUACAUCAGCUUUGCAUCUGUCUGGAGGUUUCAAAACCUGCAAGGGGCCUCAUGGUGCAUUUUGCACUUAAGAAAAGCAGGAAGUGUUUUUAUUUUAGAUAUUUAAGAAACACUGUGAGCCUUUUUGCACAAAUAAGGAAAACAUCCACUUGUGAGCACCAGAGACACUAAGGUCAGUGACAGGAUCAGAAGCUCUCACAUUUUAUACAAGACAUCAUUAAUAGAAUGCCUGCCUGUUGAGCCCUAUUUACCACUAUCAGCCACUGCAACGAAGCCUGUUACUUCAAUGCAUUUAAAAACAUUCAGCAAUUAAAAAAUUAACAGUUAAUAUUUUAUAAGUGUCCCGAAUAAUUUUUUAAUCUACUUCCCUCAAUGAUAAUGAACAGGAGCAGUUCAUACACUCUGUUUUUCAAACACUGCAGACUCGGGCAGAUGGCUCCAUACUGAUUUACAUUGUAUUGUGUGUUCAAAGGUUUCCCCUUCGCUUUCUCUUCUUCCCCCUCACUCCAUCCCUCCCCUCUGAUACACAUACUCACCCAUGUACAUCCCAAGUCUCAGAUAUACCAGUGUGAGUGGAAAGCUAAGAUUCUGAGGUAUGUAUUAAAUGAAUUGAAAGUGACCACCGAUACAAGCUUAAUAAAUUAUGUUGCCUCUAUGGCUCUGGUGUUUUAAAAAAAUAUUAAGUUCUGAUGAGUAAAAUAGAUAUUGAGGAGGACAACAACUCUCAGGUCUCUAAGGCUGGAGCCACAGUUUACUGUAGGGACCUCACUCCAUUUUGACUGAGUUGUGUGAGAAAGCAUUGCCAAACGCAAGCCUCCCUCCUUGAUCAUACAGAUACUGAGUCACCACCCCUGGAGGUAUUUAAAAGAUGUGCAGCUGUGGUGCUUAGGGACAUUGUUUAGUGGUGGACUUGGCAGUGUUAGGUCAACAGUUGGACUCGAUGAUCUUAAAGGUCUUUUCCAACCAGAAAGAUUCUGUUCUAUGAUUCCAUAAAAAAAGUCACCGAUUGAUGACUCAUUGCAGUGACCUCAGAACUACAAAAAGAAAUCCUCUGUGCACCUAGGAUACCCUGAUUUUUACUAGCAGCUAGAUGCAGGCCUAGGGUAUGCCCAGGAGCGUAACUAUUCAGGAGUGAUUAAGAGGAGGGGUCAUCUGAUACUUUUCUUGUCAAUGUCUUCAGACUACCUCUCUGAUGCACAAUUUAUUCAUCAUUACUGUCCAUCAAAUAACCGUAUGCCUUCCACCCUCUUGUAUGAUGACAAGAAGGUCCACUAAAAAUAAAUAUUUUCCUCCAGUAAUUUCAAACAUCAUACAAAUGGGAAAAGAAAUGCAAAUCCAGCUUUUUAGGAGAAAGACGUAAUUUAAAAGAUUUUAAAGAGAAAUUUCCAAGCUACUUUUUUUCAGAUUUUAUCUUUAUUUAAUAGCUUAGUGACCUCCGCUAGAUAUCUGAGACAUAAGUGACAGCCUUCUGUCCUUAAUUAACUAAUUAGUAAAGUUGCCAUUACAGAUAGGAUGAGUAAAUUUUUUUUUUUUUUAAAUCAAGGAUUAUUAAAAUUUUGCAUGUAUUCUCUCUGAGUGCCUGACAUACACAGUUAAAACCAUUGGGAGUAAAUCUGAAUCUGACAAAUGUUAAUGGAACGUAAACAGUGCAACAAAUGUGUUUAGAAACCCUAAUGGAUAUUUGACAAAUUUUCUAUCUACAUUACCAAGCAGCCUGUAGAACAAAGCUGUUAAAUUAUACCAAUGAUUAAACUGUUUAUCUCUAAGUAGCUUUUUCCCCCUUCUAUAAAUGUCGAAGUUAUUUAAAUGUCUUUUUACAAAUGGGCAACAGAAACCAAGAUGCAGCACGGUUGCCCAAGGUGAAAUUAGGUAAAUCAGCUGAAAAGUUAAAAAUGGAACCUGGAUCUUCUCACUUCUAAUUUU